rnacentral:rRNA from 1 species
UCGGGAAUUUUGGGCAAUGGGCGAAAGCCUGACCCAGCAAUGCCGCGUGAGGGAUGAAGUAUUUCGGUAUGUAAACCUCGAAAGAAUGGGAAGAAUAAAUGACGGUACCAUUUAUAAGCUCCGGCUAACUACGUGCCAGCAGCCGCGGUAAUACGUAGGGAGCAAGCGUUGUUCGGAUUUACUGGGCGUAAAGGGCGCGUAGGCGGCGCGGUAAGUCACUUGUGAAAUCUCUGAGCUUAACUCAGAACGGCCAAGUGAUACUGCUGUGCUAGAGUGCGGAAGAGGCAACCGGAAUUCUUGGUGUAGCGGUGAAAUGCGUAGAUAUCAAGAGGAACACCUGAGGCGAAGGCGGGUUGCUGGGCCGACACUGACGCUGAUGCGCGAAAGCCAGGGGAGCAAAC